CCGCCUCUCCCUUGGGAGAGGCCAAAACCGUUCUUCACGGUUUUGGGUGAGGGG
rnacentral:sRNA from 1 species